GGCGAGAAAAACUUUGCAAUGUGCGAAAGCACGACAAGGUUAAUCCGAGUGGUUUCUGCUAAAAGGAACCUUUUGUCAGUCCUAGAAACACUGGUGAAUAAGGGGUGGGCAAGUUCUGGUGUCAGCCGCCGCGGUAAAACCAGCACCUCAAGUGGUCAGGAUGAUUAGUUGGGCCUAAAGCAUCCGUAGCCUGCUUUGUUAGUUUUCGGUUAAAUCCAUUUGCUCAACGAAUGGGCUGCCGGGAAUACUGCAAAGCUAGGGAGUGGGAGAGGUAGACGGUAC
rnacentral:rRNA from 1 species